GCUUGUGUGCGGAGUAACGCAGGAAAAAAGUGCGAGAGAGAGGGUGAGAGGAAGAAAAAAACAAACACGGGAGCCGGUUCGCGUCGUUCACGUCAAAGACACGGAUCUAAGAGCCAUUUUGUUCGUGACCGACACAUCACUACUGGCCAGUCUAUCAGCAGAGAGCAUGUGAACGCUGGCGACUGUGUGAACAACUCGCAAUCAAUAUUUCUAGACCAAAUAAUGGAAAAACAAGUCCUUUGAAGAGCGUUUAAUCCAUAGCCAAGAAACAAGACGCCAUUUUGCUUCUUGCCUUACAAAUUUACAUUUAAAGCACCUUGCUGCUAACAUAGUUACCUGCAUAUACCAAUUUGUCUACAGGAGAUACAACCAGUUUUUUUAUUUCAUUUCACUCUGGCAAGGAUGACAUGCCAUCUCCAGGACCUCACUGUUUUAACACUGUGGUGGAGUCGAGCAAGGGAUGGAUCGAGCAGUGGGUUCGGGGGACGGUACCUGCACAGCUGAGGUCCAUCACACAAACCACGCCUUCCCUAUUUCAGUAGCUGCUAGGUCCCAGAAGAGAUGUCUGAGGUUUGGAGAGGACAGCACUGAGCGGGAGCGCGCUGGAAAAUAUACAGCCUAAAACAAACUGCCAUGUCUUAUGGUCCUUGUGUCACAAACACAUUUAACAGGUCUCACUCAGGUUCAUCCCCUCAGUUGGCAGCAGAGCAGUAAAUUAAAGUUAAUCCAGGCACACCUGGUUCAUUUUUUUAUCUUCAUACCUGUGUGUAAUCAGAUGUGAAAAAAAAUAUUGACAGCAGUGAGCAUGUUCACGUGGCAGCUGAUUUGUGGCAUGAGUGAAGACAGUAAAGUUACCAUAAGGCCACAAAGAAAGUAUGAUUGAAAUGAACCUUAAUUUUCUUUAAAUGAAAUAAUAUUUUAUUCUGUAUAAGAUGGUCUGUUACAUAACAAUCAUCUUUUGUGUGACACAUAUAUCAAAGGCUGUUUUUAUCCUUGUCUUUUAUAUCUGGAGCCUGUUUUCUGUCACUGAUGUAGAUCAUGCAGAAAAGUGGCAUAUUAACCCCUCAUCAUUCAGGUGUUCAGUAACCUGACACAUAUGGCGUGCCCUCAGAAAUGAAACACAAAAUGACUAGAAGAAUACUAUACACACAAAUAUUGGUCUUUCCAGCACAGUUCCUACAGGUUUCUGCCAAUACUGAUCUAUGUUGAUUUAAAUAAUUUGUUCAGUUCUUAGAAAAACCAUCAACCUGAAAUCCACGUAAAACUGAAUUUUACUGUACCGUGCCCAGGAUACUCUAUUUAGGAUUCAAAUAUUUGGCACCCCCUAAUGGUAAACUAGAAAAAUAGGCAGACAACUCAAAAGUGUGUUUACACGAAUAACAAAGUAUCUCCUGAGCAUAGAAAAAUGCAUAUUUUGCUUCACUUAGAGGGGAAUUAGUUUUCAGUACAGCAUUGGAAAACACAAAAAAGGGAACAAUGGGAGGAGUCCUUGUGGUCUUUUGCUAACUGCAGGAGAUACUAUGUUUUUCCUUUCUGGUCUGAAAAAUGACAAAUCAAACCACAAAUAAAAUGUUGGAAGUUUUAAUGAACACCAUCUACAGCAGUCAGUGAGUUUCAAACUACUACCAUUACCCAUGAAAAGUUGUGCACUAGGUCAUCUGUUAUGGUUUCAUAUUCUGCGUCACAGUCUAUCACAACAUAUUCUAGAUGUAAAACUUGAGUUCACAAAGCAUAUUAGAAAAUGUACUGUAUUUACUUCCCAGCACUGUUGUUGGUGCACACAUAUUUUAAACUCCUACUUUCUGGUAUAAAAGGAAGUAAAUACAGUACAAUAUCAGUAAAUACUGAUUUUCAUCAAAAGAGUUUCAGUGUUACUUAGAUCAAUAGUGCCCUCUGCUGUUCACAUCCACAUCUACAGUACAGGCUGGGGCACAA